rnacentral:rRNA from 1 species
UACGUAGGGGGCUAGCGUUGUUCGGAUUCAUUGGGCGUAAAGGGUGCGUAGGCGGCGCGGUAAGUCGGGUGUGAAAUCUCGGAGCUUAACUCCGAAACUGCAUUCGAUACUGCCGUGCUUGAGGACUGGAGAGGAGACUGGAAUUCAUGGUGUAGCAGUGAAAUGCGUAGAGAUCAUGAGGAAGACCAGUGGCGAAGGCGGGUCUCUGGACAGUUCCUGACACUGAGGCACGAAGGCCAGGGGAGCAAACGGG